rnacentral:rRNA from 1 species
GGGAACGUACCCUUCGGUUCGGAAUAACUCAGGGAAACUUGAGCUAAUACCGGAUACGCCCUUUUGGGGAAAGGUUUACUGCCGAAGGAUCGGCCCGCGUCUGAUUAGCUUGUUGGUGGGGUAACGGCCUACCAAGGCGACGAUCAGUAGCUGGUCUGAGAGGAUGAUCAGCCACACUGGGACUGAGACACGGCCCAGACUCCUACGGGAGGCAGCAGUGGGGAAUAUUGGACAAUGGGCGCAAGCCUGAUCCAGCCAUGCCGCGUGAGUGAUGAAGGCCUUAGGGUUGUAAAGCUCUUUUGUCCGGGACGAUAAUGACGGUACCGGAAGAAUAAGCCCCGGCUAACUUCGUGCCAGCAGCCGCGGUAAUACGAAGGGGGCUAGCGUUGCUCGGAAUCACUAGGCGUAAAGGGCGCGUAGGCGGCCGAUUAAGUCGGGGGUGAAAGCCUGUGGCUCAACCACAGAAUUGCCUUCGAUACUGAUUGGCUUGAGACCGGAAGAGGACAGCGGAACUGCGAGU